UGGCUCAGGGGUAGAGCAUUUGCCUAUCAAGCACAAAGCCCUGGGUUCAACUCCUAG
rnacentral:tRNA from 1 species